CGCUAUCGAACAACUAUGGGGUUAGUCAGGGACCUUGUUUAAUUUUCCAGGUUUUUCUUCGUCAUCCCCUGGGAUACUGAUUGUAUAACGGGUGCUAUAUUUGUCCUGGUGACGUUUGAAGGAGGAAUACCGAGGACCACGUGUUGGUCUAAGAAGCGUGUUUUCUUCGAAAUCAGCCCAUCUGAGCCCUAAAUUAAGAAUAAGGAGGGAUUCAACGUAAAAUAAAUUAUUUUAUUUCAUAUUAAUUUAUCAAUUUGAAUACGUAAAGUUAGUAAUAGUUUUAGAUGACGACGGCAAAGAUAUAUCUGUUAAACUGGAGGUUAUAAAAAAGAAUUUCUAGCAACUAUGACAUAAUGCUGUUCUUGCAAUUUAUGCAAGCAACGAAUUGAAGUUAUGGAGGAUGGCAACAAAGGAGGUUCCCAGAAUGUUUUAGUUUUCCCAUGACAUAUGAGUGACCAAAGAGAAUCUGAUGUGAAAGAAGUGAAACCAAAGGUGUUAUGACAAGCUGCUCUAAAAUAUAAAGGGUUCAGUAUGGAUUUUUUACUGCCAUCAAAAACACUUGUAAUUACUUUGUUUGUUAUUAUUCCAAUUUUAAAUAUUUCAGUUAAAGAAAGAUGGUUCAAUGUGACAAUUUCAUUAUUCACGUUAUUAUAAUUUUUAUAUUUUAGGUGUUAUGACAAGCUGCUCUAAAAUAUAAAGGGUUCAGUAUGGAUUUUCUACAGCCAUUAUCACAAGAAUUAACCAAGUACGGCCAGUAUCAGGAAGAAAAUAUUAAGCUUCAUUCACAUAAGAUUGGUACAGUGGUAGUGUAUUUGUACUGCGGUGGCAGAGGUAAUUUCUAAAUGAAGUUUCAUUGGUAUUAUACAGGCUUGUGUAAUCAUCAUAUUUAUUUUAAAACAGUCACACACAGAUUAUAAAGAAAAUUUUAAGUAAAUAAAUAACAUUAAAUAAACAUGUACGGACACAGUACCUAAUGUACUGUAAGCUAGGUCCCCAACACCAACUUUCUGUACUACACACACAAAUACACUUCAACUGCACCAACGUUUAUGUGAAUGAACUAUUAGUAUCUGUGUACCAGAUACUGAAAAUUACUCGCUUAAAUUUAAAAAUUAAAAUAAUAAGUAAUCAUGUAUGUUUCUUAAAAUAGGUAAUAUUUUAAGCAACAAGUAUAAAUUACGAUUUAUGUUAUGUAAAUUAUAUUA